rnacentral:rRNA from 1 species
UACAUGGGGUGCAAACGUUGCUCGGAAUUAUUGGGCGUAAAGCGCGCGUAGGCGGUUACUUAUGUCGGAUGUGAAAGCCCUCGGCUUAACUGAGGAAGUGCAUUCGAAACUGGGUAGCUAGAGUACUAAAGAGGGUCGCGGAAUUCCCGGUGUAGAGGUGAAAUUCGUAGAUAUCGGGAGGAACACCGGUGGCGAAGGCGGGUCUCUGGGCCAUUACUGACGCUGAGGAGCGAAAGCGUGGGGAGCGAACAGG